AGAGUUUGAUCAUGGCUCAGGACGAACGCUGGCGGCGUGCUUAACACAUGCAAGUCGAACGGUGAAGCCCCAGCUUGCUGGGGUGGAUGAGUGGCGAACGGGUGAGUAACACGUGAGUAACCUGCCCCCUUCUUCUGGAUAACUGCCGGAAACGGUAGCUAAUACGGAAUACUCAUUCCCUGCCGCAUGGUGGGGUUUGGAAAGGUUUUUCUGGUGGGGGAUGGGCUCGCGGCCUAUCAGCUUGUUGGUGGGGUAACGGCUCACCAAGACCGCGAUCGGUAGCCGGACUGAGAGGUUGAACGGCCACAUUGGGACUGAGACACGGCCCAGACUCCUACGGGAGGCAGCAGUGGGGAAUAUUGGGCAAUGGGCGCAAGCCUGACCCAGCAAUGCCGCGUGAAGGAAGAAGGCCUUCGGGUUGUAAACUUCUUUUCUAAGGGACGAAGAAUGACGGUACCUUAGGAAGAAGCCACGGCUAACUACGUGCCAGCAGCCGCGGU
rnacentral:rRNA from 1 species